GCGAGGUAGUAGUGGUAAUCAGUGGGGUAUGUUUCUAGGGUGUGCAAGGCUUUGGUCUUUCGCUCUUUGCAGUAAGUGUUGUUGCUGCUUUCUGUUUGGGUUCAUGCUGCUUUUAUGAGAUGUAACACCGUGAAGGUGUGCAGCUUCAUUCCUGAAGCCAGUGAGACCACAAACCCAUCGGGAGAAACGAGCAACUCCAGACAUGCCGCCUAAAGAGCUGUAACACUCACCGCGAAGGUCUGCAGCUUCCCUCCUGAUGUAACAAGAUCACGAACCCACCAGAAGGAAGAAACUCCGAACACAUCCGAAUAUCAGAGGGGACAAACUCUGAACACGCCGCCUUUAAGAACUGUAACAACGGGAGGGUCCGUGGCUUCAUUGUUGAAGUCAGACCAAGAACCCACCAAUUCCGGACACAGAAGCACACAUUUACAAACAACAAACAUGUUCAUUAUAAAUUGUAACAUCUAUACCUGUGCGUGAUGAAGCAACUACAGGAAAACCUCCGAUUAGUAACCAAGGUUUGCUCACUCCAGCAACUUGAAAUUGAGCAUUUUAUAGCAGCAGGUGACUUCAGAGACUGGCCAAGCAAAAACCUCAUCUAAUAGUGGCUAAAGAAGGGAAGGGAGAAGGAAGGGUAUUGGAAAGUCCACACCUGACUGGAUGUUUUCAGCUCUCAGGGUCUGGAAGAUAUUUGAAGAUGACUAUCUCAUGGGCACUCUCACAGGCUUUACGAAGGUUGUCUGCAUUGGGAACCUCCACUGAAGAUCCCAGUAAGUCGGCAAUGCAUCAACUUUGGGGACCACUCCCCACCAGGCUCCCACCACUGCCAUUCGUUUGCUCUGAUUCUGGCUACUGGAGUCAUGCCAUUCUCCAGGAGUUCCUGCGGAUCGAGAGCAGAAUUUAACAUUAGCCUGGAAAUCUCACACCAGAGAGUAAAGAAAUGCUCAAAGACCACAUAGUCAUGUCAAACGGACAUGAGACUUCUCGAGUUUUUGCUGGCCUCAUUUAGACAAUCUGUGCAUCAAACUAAUAAUGAAUAUGAUUGAUUAGAACAUAUUGACUGUUUUUGUUUGUUUGAGAGUCUCCCUCUGUUGCCAAGGCUGGAGUACAGUGGAGCGAUCUUGGCUCACUGCAACCUCCGCUUCCCGGGUCCAAGUGAUUCUCCUGCAUCAGCCUCCAGAGUAGCUGGACUACAGACAUGCACCACCACGCCCGGCUAAUUUUCUGUGUUUUUAGUAGAGACAGCGUUUUCCCAUAUUGGCCAGGCUGGUCUUGAACUCCUGAUCUCAAGUGAUCCACGCCUCAGCCUCCCAAAGUGGUGGGAUUACAGGUGUGUGAGCCACCGUGCCUGGCCCUGAUUAGAACAUUUCGAAUCAAUAAAUAUUCAUUAAUGAAUAAAUAGAAAACAAUGAGAAUGCGGGGGGAAAAGCAGCUCUUCUUUACUGAAAAACGUCAUCUGAUAAAUACACAGGCGUAGAAUUAGAAAAUUACCAUUUUGAACCUUCAGUGUAUCAACUGAUUCAGACCAAGAAGCAACCAUAGAGCUGUGCCAAAUGGAUACAUCUACUAAGAGACUAAGGAAGACACAGACCUAGUCAGUCUGGCUCCAAAGCUCAGACUCAUAUAUGUCAAUAGUUCUUAAAUCACAUGGGGUCGCUAGAGGAGGGCCAGGGACCUGGGUCCUUUCGAAAGUUUCUCAGAUAUGGCUGAGUGCGGCGGCUCACACCUGUAAUCCCAACACUUUGGGAGGCCGAGGCAGGUAGCUCAUUUGAACCCAGGAGUUCCAGUCCAGCCUGGGCAGCAUGGAGAAACCCCAUCUCUACAAAAAAAAAAAAAUACAAAAAAUUAGCUGGGUGAGGUGGUGCACGACUGUAGUCCCAGCUGCUCGGGAGGCUGAGGUGGGAGGGUCACUUCAGUCCAGGGAGUCGAGGCUGCAGUGAGCCAUGAUUGCACCACUGCACUCCAGCCUGGCUGACAGAGUAAGACCCCAUCUUAAAAUAAUAAUAAUGACAAUAAUAAUAAUUCCCAG
rnacentral:lncRNA from 10 species